rfam:Schistosoma mansoni strain Puerto Rico chromosome 7, complete genome
GUUCGGCUGAUGGGUCCCAAAUAGGGCGAAACUUGAGUUGUGGAU